GGAUGGCUCAGUUGGUAGAGCAUGAGACUCUUCAUCUAUGGGUCGUGGAUUCGAGCCCCGUGUUGGGCA